GGCCGCCCCACGGUAGCCCUGGCAACCGCGUGCCGUCAUCCCAUUGGUCAAUUCUGACAUAAAGCAUUCAGCUCUGCCAGAGGGUCCGCAAAUCUGAGCCUCUGUCCUCGCGGCCGAUCCCUUGCCCACGGCUACCCGACCCCUGGAAAUCGGAACCGCAGCGUCACCAUCUCAGAAUUCCCGGCGUCGACGCGGUGGGACUCUUAGUUCCUGGUCGUGGAUCUUAGAGAGUGGGCAGGAAGCCAAAUUUCCUAUUUGCUCCUGGGAAGACUUUUCUGUGACUACCUCCUCUGCCCUGUCUGGCUCCUCCCUCGCAGUCCAGGUAAAAGGUCAUCUUGUAUUACUUUUCUAAUAAAAACCGUUUUUAUUUAAUUACCUCUUCCAGCAUCUUCUCUGACACCUCCAACUCGAACCCAGCCGAAGUAUCUUCAGAGAGCCUUCUUGUGAUGUUCUCAGCUUAGGGCCAUCCCUUCCUCAUUUCAUCCUCUGAAUCCGGCAAACGCCUAGCCACUCUCAUAGGAAAUGUGCCUCCUAAGGCUGAAUGCAAAUGUGAAAAAAUAAUAGUGUGCAACAAUUAAGGAAUCCACACACCUUCUCUCAAGCCAGACCUGAGUCAUUUCUGACAAAAGUGAUGAGAAUACAACCAUCACCACCAAAAAAACCCCCCAAAUACUCAGCUGAAAAGCCUCACUUUCUCCAGCUGCUGUCUCCAGAGCCACCUGAGAGUGGAAAGGAAAGGAAUUGAUCAAUGGUGCUCAGAUGGGUGGGCUUCAGAACCACCUGGAAGGCUUGCUAAAACAGGUUUCUGGGCCCCACCCCAGAGUUUCUGAGUCAGUAAGCCUUAUAGCAAUCAUGUCAAACUCAAAGGCUAACACGGGCCAAAUAAAUGAGGCCUGCGGGCCGAGAGUUUGA